rnacentral:rRNA from 1 species
GACGAACGCUGGCGGCGUGCUUAACACAUGCAAGUCGAACGGAAAGGCCCUGCUUUUGUGGGGUGCUCGAGUGGCGAACGGGUGAGUAACACGUGAGUAACCUGCCCUUGACUUUGGGAUAACUUCAGGAAACUGGGGCUAAUACCGGAUAGGAGCUCCUGCUGCAUGGUGGGGGUUGGAAAGUUUCGGCGGUUGGGGAUGGACUCGCGGCUUAUCAGCUUGUUGGUGGGGUAGUGGCUUACCAAGGCUUUGACGGGUAGCCGGCCUGAGAGGGUGACCGGCCACAUUGGGACUGAGAUACGGCCCAGACUCCUACGGGAGGCAGCAGUGGGGAAUAUUGCACAAUGGGCGGAAGCCCGAUGCAGCAACGCCGCGUGCGGGAUGACGGCCUUCGGGUUGUAAACCGCUUUCGCCUGUGACGAAGCGUGAGUGACGGUAAUGGGGAAAGAAGCACCGGCUAACUACGU